rnacentral:rRNA from 1 species
CAUAUGAGGCCGUACGCGGCUGGAUUAUUUUAUUACCCUUGUCUUUUGCGCACUUGUUGUUUCCUGGGCGGGUUCGCCCGCCACCAGGACCACACCAUAAACCUUUUUUAUGCAGUUGCAAUCAGCGUCAGUACAACAAAUGUAAAUCAUUUACAACUUUCAACAACGGAUCUCUUGGUUCUGGCAUCGAUGAAGAACGCAGCGAAAUGCGAUACGUAGUGUGAAUUGCAGAAUUCAGUGAAUCAUCGAAUCUUUGAACGCACAUUGCGCCCUUUGGUAUUCCAAAGGGCAUGCCUGUUCGAGCGUCAUUUGUACCCUCAAGCUUUGCUUGGUGUUGGGCGUUUUUUGUCUUUGGUUGCCAAAGACUCGCCUUAAAACGAUUGGCAGCCGGCCUCCUGGUUUCGCAGCGCAGCACAUUUUUGCGCUUGCAAUCAGCAACAGAGGGCGGCACUCCAUCAAGACUCCAUUUUCACGUUUGACCUCGGAUCAGGUAGGGAUACCCGCUGAACUUAAGCAUAUCA